GCAGUAGCCGCGGGAAUACAGAGGGUGCGAGCGUUAAUCGGAUUUACUGGGCGUAAAGCGCGCGUAGGCGGCUUCUUAAGUCGGAUGUGAAAUCCCUGAGCUUAACUUAGGAAUUGCAUUCGAUACUGGGAAGCUAGAGUAUGGGAGAGGAUGGUAGAAUUCCAGGUGUAGCGGUGAAAUGCGUAGAGAUCUGGAGGAAUACCGAUGGCGAAGGCAGCCAUCUGGCCUAAUACUGACGCUGAGGUACGAAAGCAUGGGGAGCAAACAGGAUUAGAUACCCGAGUAGUCCCUGUCUCUUAUAC
rnacentral:rRNA from 1 species